rnacentral:rRNA from 1 species
UACUUAAACAACCAGGAGGUUGGCUUAGAAGCAGCCAUCCUUUAAAGAAAGCGUAAUAGCUCACUGGUCUAGUGAUUUUGCGCGGAAAAUAUAACGGGGCUAAAGUAAGUACCGAAGCUGUAGACUUGCACACAACUUAGAUUAUUUAAGUUUAGAAUAUUAAGAAACUAAGUUAUAUGUUUUAGUUAUAUUUUUACUGAUUUUUAUAGGGUAAAGAUAGAAAUAAAACUUAGUAAAAUCAGUAAAAAUAUUCUUAGGCUAAAGUUAAGUAGUUUAAGUUGUGUGCAAGUGGUAGGAGAGCGUUCUAUUUGCGUCGAAGGUAUACCGGUAAGGAGUGCUGGAGCGAAUAGAAGUGAGCAUGCAGGCAUGAGUAGCGAUAAUUAAUGUGAGAAUCAUUAACGCCGUAAACCCAA